rnacentral:rRNA from 1 species
GACGAACGCUGGCGGCGUGCCUAACACAUGCAAGUCGAACGAGGUCCAUCCUUCGGGAGAAGACCUAGUGGCGAACGGGUGAGUAACACGUGAGGAACCUGCCCCGAAGACCGGGAUAACCCUCCGAAAGGAGAGCUAAUACCGGAUACCCCCACCGAACCGCAUGGUUUGGUGAGGAAAUGGAUUCCGCUUCGGGAGGGCCUCGCGGCCUAUCAGCUAGUUGGUGGGGUAACGGCCACCAAGGCAUCGACGGGUAGCUGGUCUGAGAGGACGAUCAGCCACACUGGGACUGAGACACGGCCCAGACUCCUACGGGAGGCAGCAGUGGGGAAUCUUGCGCAAUGGGCGAAAGCCUGACGCAGCAACGCCGCGUGGGGGAUGAAGGCUCUCGGGUUGUAAACCCCUUUCAGCAGGGACGAAUCAAGACGGUACCUGCAGAAGAAGCCCCGGCUAACUACGUGCCAGCAGCCGCGGUAAU